rnacentral:rRNA from 1 species
UACGUAGGGUGCAAGCGUUAUUCGGAAUCAUUGGGCGUAAAGAGCGUGUAGGCGGCCGGUUAAGUCAGGUGUGAAAGCCCGGGGCUCAACCUCGGAAGUGCACUUGAAACUGGUCGGCUUGAGUUCGGGAGAGGGAAGCGGAAUUCCUGGUGUAGAGGUGAAAUUCGUAGAUAUCAGGAGGAACACCGGUGGCGAAGGCGGCUUCCUGGACCGAAACUGACGCUGAGACGCGAAAGCGUGGGGAGCAAACAGG